rnacentral:sRNA from 1 species
UUGGCGCUGACAAGGUGAGGGCGUUUGCAGGCAAAUGAGCUCGGAAGCAGCCCCAGUGCCCAGACCACCCAGAGCAGGGCACAGAAACACCAGCCUGCGCUGCUGUUCGCCUUGUCGGGGCGGGGAGCUGAGGGCCACUGGGGACAUUGGCCCUGCCGAGGCCUAGGCCAGGAGCAGUGGCCGCUGAGGCCUGCGGGGCGCCUGCCUGUUGUCGGGGCGACUCUGACACCAAGUCCAGGAGAUUUACUUGGGGUCCCUGUGCGCAGCGUUGGCAUCGCCAAGGCCACCGAGUGAAUUAAGCAGCAGAGGCUGAAUAUCAUCUAAAUUCAUUAGCGGACAAACCGCUGCUUCCCUCCAGCCCUGAGCAAGGCACUGGCUGUGCGUGCUCCAGGCCCUGUGUGGGCCUUACACUGCUGCGGCCCCCGAGGGUCCAUGAACACCCCAGCAGCAGCCUACGAGACCCUGUAGAGUCAGUCUGGGUGGGGGUAGGGUAAAAGCAGGCUGCCCUAGGAGGAGGGCACCACGGCCUCUAGCUCAGCCUUUGGCAAGCAGGACCGUAGUGAACAGGACAACCUGGAUUUGACAGCGGUAGGAUGUGUUGAGGUCCUGCGUGUACAGGGAAGCAGAGCGUGGUCAGGGACAGCCUAAUAGGCUGCUUGACUAUGGGAAAACAAGAAGCUACUGGGAACACCAGAGUGAGGGCUCUCUGGAUUCCCUUAGCUGAGCUGCAACAGCCUGGACUGAACUGGGGAUAGUGGCAGGGAGGAGCAGUCCCCACCUGAGGCUCCGGGGCCGGCUAGCUCCAUCGUAGAGUUUUCUAGAAACUCCUCUUUACACUGUAUGAGCCAGGCUGUGGGAAUCCCCCGGUUGCUCUUACCUAAUGCCUCUGCUUCUUCUGUUCUGUCAGAACAGACUGGGAGGAGGGGAUAGUGUUCAUCAACUACGCCCACAAGAAUGCCAGAGCCCGGGUGCUGAUCAAGCAGCAUCUUUUCAUUUGCCAUGAGGUAUCCCGAGCUGGACUAGUGUCUAGGAACUCUACAAGCCAAGCCCUGGGAUCCUCCUGGGACUCCACUUGAUUUGGGGUCCUUUUGCAAUCAGUGGACUGUGAGAACGGAAACCAUGCCAGAACCCGAACAGCAGCCAGGAGGCCAGGGGGAAAAAAAUCCCGUUGUCUGUUCGUAGUCCUUUAUAAAAAGAAGACUUGACGGGAACUGGGCAAGACACCUCCAGGUGAUACAGAAACAUCUUCAGGAUGCUCUGUUUCUGAGAAGAAAACAACAACCACCAGGGAACGGAGGUUGUACCAUCCUCCUGAGCAAAGCAUUCAGAUGCCAGCAGAUCAAGGAGGAGAUGAGAGAUCUCUGAAUGCAAACAGCAGCCAUUUACCAUGACUUUUAUGCCCUGAUCCUGUGCCUAGAGCUUCAUUCACAAGAGACAUGCUUGCCUGCACACAGUAGUCACUGUGCCUCACACACAAUUCAUUCAGCUGUGAGCGGAUUGCCUGGGGGCCCAGGCCUGUCAUCCCAACGAUUCUGGAGACUGAGAUAGGAGAAUUGUGCAGUCCAAGGCCAGCCUUGGCUACAGAGUGAAUUCAAGGGCAGCCUGAAGCAUUUAGUGAGAACCUGCCUGAAACUAAAGGCACAACGAG